rnacentral:rRNA from 1 species
AGCUCCAAUAGCGUAUAUUAAAGUUGCUGCAGUUAAAAAGCUCGUAGUUGCAUUUCCGAGGCAAGGGAUUAGUCCGACCUUUGGUGGGUAUUUAAUCCUCUUGCCUCGUCCUUGAGUGGUGCUUCUUGGUAUUAAGUUAUCGAGGAGAUAGCCGCUCAUCGUUUACUGUGAGAAAAUUAGAGUGUUCAAAGCAGGCUUAUGCCGUUGAAUAUAUUAGCAUGGAAUAAUAAGAUAGGACCUCGGUACUAUUUUGGUGGUUUGAGAACCAAGGUAAUGAGGAAUAGGGACAGUUGGGGGUAUUCGUAUUCAGUUGUCAGAGGUGAAAUUCUUAGAUUUACGGAAGACGAACUACUGCGAAAGCAUUUACCAAGGAUGUUUUCA